AUUGAACGCUGGCGGCAUGCUUUACACAUGCAAGUCGAACGGCAGCACGGACUUCGGUCUGGUGGCGAGUGGCGAACGGGUGAGUAAUACAUCGGAACGUACCCAGUAAUGGGGGAUAACUAUCCGAAAGGAUAGCUAAUACCGCAUACGCCCUACGGGGGAAAGAGGGGGAUCGCAAGACCUCUUGUUAUUGGAGCGGCCGAUGGCUGAUUAGCUAGUUGGUGAGGUAAAGGCUCACCAAGGCGACGAUCAGUAGCGGGUCUUAGAGGACGAUCCGCCACACUGAAACUGAGGCACGGGCCAGACUCCUACGGGAGGCAGCAGUGGGGAAUCUUGGACAAUGGGCGCAAGCCUGAUCCAGCAAUGCCGCGUGCGUGAAGAAGGCCUUCGGGUUGUAAAGCGCUUUUGUCAGGGAGCAAAUCCUUGUGGCUAAUACCCACCGGGGAUGAGAGUACCUGAAGAAUAAGGACCGGCUAACUACGUGCCAGCCGCCGCAGUAA
rnacentral:rRNA from 1 species